AUUGAACGCUGGCGGCAGGCCUAACACAUGCAAGUCGAACGAGUGGCGGACGGGUGAGUAAUGUCUGGGAAACUGCCUGAUGGAGGGGGAUAACUACUGGAAACGGUAGCUAAUACCGCAUACCAUCAGAUGUGCCCAGGUGGGAUUAGCUAGUUGGUGGGGUAACGGCUCACCAGGGCGACGAUCCCUAGCUGGUCUGAGUGGAUGACGGCAAACUCGGGAACGGAGACAGGGUCCAGACUCCUACGGAAGGCAGCAGGGGGGAAUAUUGGACAAGGGGCGCAAGCCUGAUGCAGCCAUGCGGCGUGUAUGAAGAAGGCCUUCGGGUUGUAAAGUACUUUCAGCGGGGAGGCGUUACCCGAAGAAGAAGCACCGGCUAACUCCGUGCCAGCAGCCGCGGUAAUUC
rnacentral:rRNA from 1 species